UGGUUAAAAAGCUCGUAGUUGGAUCUCAACAGCCUUGAAGCGGUUAACUUUGUAGUUUUACUGCUUUAUAGGCUGUGCUUUUGCUGGAGGUUUAGGGGUGCUCUUGAUCGAGUGUCUCUGGAUGCCAGCAGGUUUACUUUGAAAAAAUUAGAGUGCUCAAAGCAGGCUAAAAUGCCUGAAUAUUCGUGCAUGGAAUAAUAGAAUAGGAUGUCGAUCCUAUUUUGUUGGUUUUCGGGACUCGACAUAAUGAUAAAUAGGGACAGUCGGGGGCAUUUGUAUUCAAACGACAGAGGUGAAAUUCUUGGACCGUUUGAAGACAAACUACUGCGAAAGCAUUUGCCAAGAAUGUUUUCAUUAAUCAAGAACGAAAGUUAGAGGUUCGAAGGCGAUUAGAUACCGCCCUAGUUCUAACCAUAAACGAUGCCAGCUAGCGAUCUGCCUGCGUUUUUACUGUAGACUGGGCAGGAAGCUUCCGGGAAACCAAAGCAUUUGGGUUCCAGGGGAAGUAUGGUUGCAAAGCUGAAACUUAAAGGAAUUGACGGAAGGGCACCACCAGGAGUGGAGCCUGUGGCUUAAUUUGACUCAACACGGGAAAUCUCACCAGGCCCGGACACUGGAAGGAUUGACAGAU
rnacentral:rRNA from 1 species